CGAAUAUUGGAUGAAACAGGCCACAGCAUUUAUUAAACUUACAACUGUAGGACUCAUCCGAACUUUAUUCUUUUUCUUUAAUUCAAAUAUAAACAGAUAAAUAUAUAUACAUACCAUAAUUAACAUAUAAAUUAACAUAUAAAUUACACUUAUUGCCCUACAGCCUCCAACUUAAAUAACCGUCCUUGCCAACGAACUUAACCAGGUGCCUAUGCACCAAAACGUUACCCAUUGGUGUCUCGCCUCCCCCCUCGUCCAAAGCAAAAAUUCCCAUCAUCUUAAAUGCUCUACCACCCGCCGGCUUUUUGCUCGGUGGGCACGUCCUAUUCGGUAACUUAAAGGUUUACCUUACAGAGCAGGGGAGGUUGAGACCCACCAUGUCCAUCUCCUGACAUUCCAUCUGCUCCCCAACCCUGUUGGCAAGGACACACUCCCCGCCACAAACCCCGCUGUUUUAAACCUAAAAUCAGUGGGGAGCCCCACCAAAACCAACCAGGCCUGUUCCACCACUUUCUGCAUGGCAAGACGAAAAAAGGUCUAGCCGGACCUUCAUCACCCAGAAACACAGUAGCUGCCACAUGCGUGACAACACCCUGUGGCAAACCAAAAUCCCCUUACCUUCAAACACCUCGAAAGGCCCUCCAAUUUUUUUUUUUUUUAUACGGCAGCGUACCAUGCACUGAUUAUGGGCCCGCUGCCAAAAGGUACGGGAAUUGACCUCCGACCAAUCGGGGUUAUUU